UAUGUGAUCGUCUCUCGCAUAUCAAUAAGCGGAGGAAAAGAAACUAACAAGGAUUCCCCUAGUAACGGCGAGUGAAGCGGGAAGAGCUCAAAUUUGAAAUCUUAAAGGGUUUCCCUUUACGAAUUGUAGUUUAAAGAAGUGUUUUCUGUUGAGGUUUUGGUAAAAGUUCUUUGGAAUAGGACAUCAUAGAGGGUGAGAAUCCCGUAUUUGACCCUUUACUUUCAACUUUGUGAUACACUUUCAAAGAGUCGGAUUGUUUGGGAAUGCAGUCCAAAAUGGGUGGUAAAUUUCAUCUAAAGCUAAAUAUUGGCGAGAGACCGAUAGCGAACAAGUACCGUGAGGGAAAGAUGAAAAGAACUUUGAAAAGAGAGUUAAACAGUACGUGAAAUUGUCAAAAGGGAAGCGUUUGACACCAGUGUUGUUUUUCUGAAAAUCAAUUAAAGAACUGUUUAUGCUAAGCUGUUUAGACUUUAUCAGCUAUCUGUUUAGUUUUGAGCUUUUCUUUAAUGCACUUCUCAGUUAACAAGUCAACAUCAAUUUCUUUUGCUGUAAAAAAGCUUGAGGAAGGUGGCUUGAGAUUCGUCUUAAGUGUUUAUAGCCUCUUGCCUAUGCAGUCGGAGAGAUUGAGGUCUGCAGCGUAGAUCCUUCGGGGCUAAAUGCAUUUGUGCUAAGUUAUAGCAUUUUAUAGACAACUUGUUGACUAUGAUUUGUCUUGUAGCUUACUCGCUUAUGUUAUUUUACCUACGCUUAGGAUGUUGAUCUACAGAGCGAGAGU
rnacentral:rRNA from 1 species